GGUUAAGCGACUAAGCGUACACGGUGGAUGCCCUGGCAGUCAGAGGCGAUGAAGGACGUGCUAAUCUGCGAUAAGCGUCGGUAAGGUGAUAUGAACCGUUAUAGCCGGCGAUUUCCGAAUGGGGAAACCCAGUGUGUUUCGACACACUAUCAUUACGUGAAUACAUAGCGUAAUGAAGCGAACCGGGGAACUGAAACAUCUAAGUACCCCGAGGAAAAGAAAUCAACCGAGAUUCCCCCAGUAGCGGCGAGCGAACGGGGAGCAGCCCAGAGUCUGAAUCAGCUUGUGUGUUAGUGGAACGGUCUGGAAAGUCCGACGGUACAGGGUGAUAGUCCCGUACACCAAAAUGCACAGGUUGUGAACUCGAAGAGUAGGGCGGGACACGUGGUAUCCUGUCUGAAUAUGGGGGGACCAUCCUCCAAGGCUAAAUACUCCUGACUGACCGAUAGUGAACCAGUACCGUGAGGGAAAGGCGAAAAGAACCCCGGCGAGGGGAGUGAAAAAGAACCUGAAACCGUGUACGUACAAGCAGUGGGAGCCUCUUUAUGGGGUGACUGCGUACCUUUUGUAUAAUGGGUCAGCGACUUAUAUUCUGUAGCAAGGUUAACCGUAUAGGGGAGCCGAAGGGAAACCGAGUCUUAACUGGGCGUUAAGUUGCAGGGUAUAGACCCGAAACCCGGUGAUCUAGCCAUGGGCAGGUUGAAGGUUGGGUAACACUAACUGGAGGACCGAACCGACUAAUGUUGAAAAAUUAGCGGAUGACUUGUGGCUGGGGGUGAAAGGCCAAUCAAACCGGGAGAUAGCUGGUUCUCCCCGAAAGCUAUUUAGGUAGCGCCUCGUGAAUUCAUCUUCGGGGGUAGAGCACUGUUUCGGCUAGGGGUCAUCCCGACUUACCAACCCGAUGCAAACUGCGAAUACCGAAGAAUGUUAUCACGGGAGACACACGGCGGGUGCUAACGUCCGUCGUGAAGAGGGAAACAACCCAGACCGCCAGCUAAGGUCCCAAAGUCAUGGUUAAGUGGGAAACGAUGUGGGAAGGCACAGACAGCCAGGAUGUUGGCUUAGAAGCAGCCAUCAUUUAAAGAAAGCGUAAUAGCUCACUGGUCGAGUCGGCCUGCGCGGAAGAUGUAACGGGGCUAAACCAUGCACCGAAGCUGCGGCAGCGACACUAUGUGUUGUUGGGUAGGGGAGCGUUCUGUAAGCCGUUGAAGGUGUCCUGUGAGGGGUGCUGGAGGUAUCAGAAGUGCGAAUGCUGACAUAAGUAACGAUAAUGCGGGUGAAAAACCCGCACGCCGGAAGACCAAGGGUUCCUGUCCAACGUUAAUCGGGGCAGGGUGAGUCGACCCCUAAGGCGAGGCCGAAAGGCGUAGUCGAUGGGAAACAGGUUAAUAUUCCUGUACUUGGUGUUACUGCGAAGGGGGACGGAGAAGGCUAUGUUAGCCGGGCGACGGUUGUCCCGGUUUAAGCAUGUAGGCGGAGGUUCCAGGUAAAUCCGGUACCUUUUUAACGCUGAGGUGUGAUGACGAGGCACUACGGUGCUGAAGUAACAAAUGCCCUGCUUCCAGGAAAAGCCUCUAAGCAUCAGGUAACACGAAAUCGUACCCCAAACCGACACAGGUGGUCAGGUAGAGAAUACCAAGGCGCUUGAGAGAACUCGGGUGAAGGAACUAGGCAAAAUGGUGCCGUAACUUCGGGAGAAGGCACGCUGAUAUGUAGGUGAAGCGGUUUACCCGUGGAGCUGAAAUCAGUCGAAGAUACCAGCUGGCUGCAACUGUUUAUUAAAAACACAGCACUGUGCAAACACGAAAGUGGACGUAUACGGUGUGACGCCUGCCCGGUGCCGGAAGGUUAAUUGAUGGGGUUAUCCGUAAGGAGAAGCUCUUGAUCGAAGCCCCGGUAAACGGCGGCCGUAACUAUAACGGUCCUAAGGUAGCGAAAUUCCUUGUCGGGUAAGUUCCGACCUGCACGAAUGGCGUAAUGAUGGCCAGGCUGUCUCCACCCGAGACUCAGUGAAAUUGAACUCGCUGUGAAGAUGCAGUGUACCCGCGGCAAGACGGAAAGACCCCGUGAACCUUUACUAUAGCUUGACACUGAACACUGGUCCUUGAUGUGUAGGAUAGGUGGGAGGCUUUGAAGUGUGGACGCCAGUCUGCAUGGAGCCAUCCUUGAAAUACCACCCUUUAAUGGCUGGUGUUCUAACGUGGACCCGUUACCCGGGUUGCGGACAGUGUCUGGUGGGUAGUUUGACUGGGGCGGUCUCCUCCUAAAGAGUAACGGAGGAGCACGAAGGUUAGCUAAUCCUGGUCGGACAUCAGGAGGUUAGUGCAAAGGCAUAAGCUAGCUUGACUGCGAGAGUGACGGCUCGAGCAGGUGCGAAAGCAGGUCUUAGUGAUCCGGUGGUUCUGAAUGGAAGGGCCAUCGCUCAACGGAUAAAAGGUACUCCGGGGAUAACAGGCUGAUACCGCCCAAGAGUUCAUAUCGACGGCGGUGUUUGGCACCUCGAUGUCGGCUCAUCACAUCCUGGGGCUGAAGUAGGUCCCAAGGGUAUGGCUGUUCGCCAUUUAAAGUGGUACGCGAGCUGGGUUUAGAACGUCGUGAGACAGUUCGGUCCCUAUCUGCCGUGGGCGCUGGAGAAUUGAGGGGGCUGCUCCUAGUACGAGAGGACCGGAGUGGACGCAUCACUGGUGUUCGGGUUGUCAUGCCAAUGGCAUUGCCCGGUAGCUAAAUGCGGAAGAGAUAAGUGCUGAAAGCAUCUAAGCACGAAACUUGCCCCGAGAUGAGUUCUCCCUGAGACUUUAAGUCUCCUGAAGGAACGUUGAAGACGACGACGUUGAUAGGUCGGGUGUGUAAGUGUAGCGAUACAUUGAGCUAACCGAUACUAAUGAACCGUGAGGCUUAACCUU
rnacentral:rRNA from 1 species